UACGUAGGGGGCAAGCGUUGUCCGGAUUUAUUGGGCGUAAAGAGCGUGUAGGCGGCCAGGUAGGUCAGCUGUGAAAACUCCGAGGCUCAACCUCGAGACGCCGGUUGAAACCAUCUGGCUAGAGUCCGGAAGAGGAGAGUGGAAUUCCUGGUGUAGCGGUGAAAUGCGCAGAUAUCAGGAAGAACACCCGUGGCGAAGGCGGCUCUCUGGAACGCAACUGACGCUGAGACGCGAAAGCGUGGGGAGCAAACAGG
rnacentral:rRNA from 1 species